rnacentral:rRNA from 1 species
CGUAGGGUGCGAGCGUUAAUCGGAAUUACUGGGCGUAAAGCGUGCGCAGGCGGUUUUGUAAGACAGGCGUGAAAUCCCCGGGCUCAACCUGGGAACUGCGCUUGUGACUGCAAGGCUAGAGUACGGCAGAGGGGGGUGGAAUUCCACGUGUAGCAGUGAAAUGCGUAGAGAUGUGGAGGAACACCAAUGGCGAAGGCAGCCCCCUGGGUCGAUACUGACGCUCAUGCACGAAAGCGUGGGUAGCAAACAGGGUUAGAUACCCUGGUAGUCCACGCCCUAAACGAUGUCAACUAGGUGUUGGGUGGGUAAAACCAUUUAGUACCGGAGCUAACGCGUGAAGUUGACCGCCUGGGGAGUACGGCCGCAAGGUUA